rnacentral:pre_miRNA from 1 species
AAUACUCGUCGCUUUGAGUUUUUGUUUGUAACUUUUGAUCAUUCGUCUUAUUUAAAAAAUUAUAGAAUUAUUAUUUAUUUUGUUUGUGACUUGUUUUAUUAUCAAAAGUACUUUAAAUAUGACUUAUCUUUUUCUUAUAUUUACACCAAUUUUUCAAAUAAGACGAAUGAUCAUAUGUUGCAUGAAAAAAGUCAAAGCGACCACUAUU